UGAGGAAUAUUGGUCAAUGGGCGCAAGCCUGAACCAGCCAAGCCGCGUGAAGGAUGACGGCCCUAUGGGUUGUAAACUUCUUUUAUACGGGAAGAACCCCCCGACGUGUCGGGGACUGACGGUACCGUACGAAUAAGCAUCGGCUAACUCCGUGCCAGCAGCCGCGGUAAUACGGAGGAUGCGAGCGUUAUCCGGAUUUAUUAGGUAUAAAGGGUGCGUAGGCGGACCUGUAAGUCAGCGGUGAAAUACUACGGCUUAACCGUAGAACUGCCGUUGAUACUGCGGGUCUUGAGUACAGUUGAGGUAGGCGGAAUGUGUGGUGUAGCGGUGAAAUGCUUAGAUAUCACACAGAACACCGAUUGCGAAGGCAGCUUACUAAGUUGUAACUGACGCUGAUGCACGAAAGCAUGGGGAGCAAACAGG
rnacentral:rRNA from 1 species